GCCUCGGUAGCUCAGCUGGCCAGAGCGGUGGCUUCGUAAGCCGCAUGCCGCGGGUUCGAAUCCCGCCCGAGGCU
rnacentral:tRNA from 2 species